GCCCUGGUGGUGCAGUGGUAGCACACGCUCACGGCACGAGUGAAAUGCGGGUUCAACUCGCGCCUGGGGUU